GACGAACGCUGGCGGCGUGCCUAAUACAUGCAAGUAGAACGCUGAAGGAGGAGCUUGCUUCUCUGGAUGAGUUGCGAACGGGUGAGUAACGCGUAGGUAACCUGCCCUGUAGCGGGGGAUAACUAUUGGAAACUAUAGCUAAUACCGCAUAAUAGUAGCUGUUGCAUGACAUUUGUUUAAAAGUUUCAAUUGCAUCACUACCACAUGCAGCUGCGUUGUAUUAGCUAGGUGGUGAGGUAAACGCUCACCUAGGCAACGAUACAUACCCGACCUGAGAGGGGGAUCGGCCACACUGGGAGUGAGACACGGCACAGACUCCUACGGGAGGCAGCAGUAGGGAAUCGUCGGCAAUGGACGGAAGUCUGACCGAGCAACGCCGCGUGAGUGAAGAAGGUGUCCGGAUCGUAAAGCUCUGUUGUAAGAGAAGAACGAGUGUGAGAGUGGAAAGUUCACACUGUGACGGUAUCUUAUCAGAAAGGGACGGCUAACUACGUG
rnacentral:rRNA from 1 species